UACGUAGGUGGCAAGCGUUGUCCGGAUUUAUUGGGCGUAAAGCGCGCGCAGGUGGUUUCUUAAGUCUGAUGUGAAAGCCCACGGCUCAACCGUGGAGGGUCAUUGGAAACUGGGAGACUUGAGUGCAGAAGAGGAUAGUGGAAUUCCAAGUGUAGUGUGGUAAA
rnacentral:rRNA from 1 species